CGGGAGACAAUUUUGGGUCGUUACAUCUCUCUCUAUUCUUCUUAUAUUUGUUUUAUAUUUCAUAACAGUAUAAUUAUAUUUAAAAAGAAAAAAGUCAUCAAAACCAUCUUAAACUAUAUCCAAAAAGUUAAAAACACAUUUAAACUAUUGAAGUGACCUAAUACAUACCUGUACUAUCGAAAAGUGAAUUUAAUUCCACCCCGACUCUAAUUCAACCAGUCACAUAGUAGGAGUUGCUUUGCAC
rnacentral:lncRNA from 1 species